CUUAACCCUCCAUUCAAAAACUCCUCCUUCAAAACGAUCGCUCCCUACCUACUCUUCUUCACAUCUCAAACCUCAAACCAGAUCUGGCCAGUCCCCUUCCUCGGUUCCUCCUCUCCUCCGCCCUCGCUCAGCUCAGCGUCGCUGCCGGCGCCCUCACCCUCGCGGCCUCGACCUCCCCCUCCUCCUCUCCGACUCCACCGCCCGAGGCCCCGAAAUCGCCGACUUUGGAGCUCGCCGCCCCCGCUCAGAGUCUGAGUUCCGGGAUCCCUGCCGCCGACGAAGGCCACCGUAAAAGCUAAAAAAAGCUAAGAUUUAUCACCCUCUUCUCCGCCGGCGAUAACGGCGCAACAACGGAAGCGACGGCAACAGAAACGGUGGCGGAAAUGACGGCGGCAACAACAUAAGCAGCGGUAACAACGGCGACAACAUCGUCGGCGGCAACAGCGGCAACGGAGACGUGAGGGCCAACGUCCAAAUAUGUUUUUUUUUAAGUUUUAAGUUUAGUUUUUUUUGUCUAAUAAUAUUGCAUUUUGUUUAGUGUGAACGGUUGAGGCGGAAAACACUAAGGGUAAUGCUUUAUUCAUUUUUCGUUUUUUCAACUGCUAUAAUGGUGGUUACCUGGACAGGAACAAGAACCCCUGUUCUGAAAGUCGUUAUAGCAAAUGGUGUUGUUUUUAUUCUGUCGGUUGCGUUGUUGAUUACUCUGGAAUUUCUUCAUGUUCACAAGACAGUCUUGACCGUCCUGACCUUUGUUCCUGGAGUAGCGAUUAUUCCAGUUGGACUGAUGACCCUUUGGCUUAGCAAUAAUGGCUCAAUAAUCGCUCUGGAAUAAUCGCUCCUCCCGGGACAAGGGUCAGGACGGUCAUGACUAUCUUGUGAAUGUGAAAAAAUUCCAGAGCAAUCAACAACGCAACCGACAGAAUAAAAACAACCCCAUUCGCAAUAACCACUUUCAGAUCUGGGGUUCUUGUUCCCGUCCAGGUAGCUACCAUUACAGCAGUUGAAAAAACAAAAAAUGAAUAAAGCAUUACCCUUAAGGUUUUCCGCCUCAACCGUUCACCCUAAACAAAAUGCAAUAUUAUUAGAAAAAAAACUAAAUUUAAAACUUAAAAAAGAAACAUAUAGUCAGAUGAUUCAUGAAAGCACAAAUUCUUUGGUGAUAUAUUGAUGAAUUUGGGCAUCUUAAGAGUUAAGAUACCAUCAGCAAGGUGUCAUCAGGACUUAGUAGCCAGAACCCAGGUGUGAUCACGGUAGCUAAUGCAGUUUUCAGAGCAAAGCCUCCUAUUUCUGACGAUGUUCUCGCCAAGGCAUUCCAGAUUGACAAGAAGCUAGUGGACUGGCUCCGAGCUCAGUUUUGGAUGGACAAUAACUAGGACGGCUGGCAAAUGCUGAUGGUCUCUAUAUACUUUCACUGUGUGUGGGUUUAAAUAAGCAGACACUGUGUGCAUGUUUGCAUGUUGUUGGCAAUAAAAUCCUUUAUAUAUGUACUUCGAUUACUCUCAAAAUGAAACUUUACAGUAAGGA